UUGUCCAUGGUACCUGGAUUCCCUCC
rnacentral:piRNA from 1 species